rnacentral:lncRNA from 1 species
UAUGCAUCUGUUUGGAAUAUGAGUAGAAGGUCAUUUUGAAAUGUCGGUAUUUUUCUAUAGAAAUACUUUUUUUCUUUUUUUCUUUUUUUCUUUUUUUUUUUUUUUUUUUUUAACUUUCUACAGGUAAGAUUAGCAUGGAGUAUUUCAGGGAUAGCAAGACACCUUGCUCCAAAUAGAUUCUCCCCCUGGACUGGACAUGGCACUGUCCUGUGUUCCUGACCUGAAACAGAUGCUUUGGACUCUCAUUAUCACCUCCCAUGUCACAGAUGCCAGCAUUCAAUCAAGACAUGAAAUUUACUUUCUGAGUCAGAGACCUGUGAAAUUUGAAUCAAAUUCUUCAAAAGUGUCAUUCUGGGUAAAUAUUCAUGAAACACACCUGAAGAAACUAUCAUCACUCCUUCAGGAAUUUCAUCAAAAAGAGAAGGUAGAUACUUGAGGAGUGUGCUCUUCGUCAUACUAUCUCUUAAUUUGCUGAGGAAAUA